rnacentral:sRNA from 1 species
CAGAAAUUAGUUCUAAUUGCUUCCGAAUCGAACAGGCUGAACAUACAGCGUGAAGCCUCCUGAAAUUUGGGAACUUGUAAAAUUGAAAUCCGAUCUACAAUUUAUGCAGCGAUGGAAUAUUUCAACGCAAAUAAUUUUGCAAUGGUUUUAAACUACUAAUGACAGACGGACUUACACCUUUGAUGUCUGUAAAAUAAUGGGUAAAUGGCGUAACGGAACUUCUGGGAAAAUAUAGUGCUUACUCAUAUGCGACUUUUUUAAAAAAAAUUCCAAAG